rnacentral:rRNA from 1 species
GAUGAACGCUGGCGGCGUGCCUAAUACAUGCAAGUCGAGCGAACGGACGAGAAGCUUGCUUCUCUGAUGUUAGCGGCGGACGGGUGAGUAACACGUGGAUAACCUACCUAUAAGACUGGGAUAACUUCGGGAAACCGGAGCUAAUACCGGAUAAUAUUUUGAACCGCAUGGUUCAAAAGUGAAAGACGGUCUUGCUGUCACUUAUAGAUGGAUCCGCGCUGCAUUAGCUAGUUGGUAAGGUAACGGCUUACCAAGGCAACGAUGCAUAGCCGACCUGAGAGGGUGAUCGGCCACACUGGAACUGAGACACGGUCCAGACUCCUACGGGAGGCAGCAGUAGGGAAUCUUCCGCAAUGGGCGAAAGCCUGACGGAGCAACGCCGCGUGAGUGAUGAAGGUCUUCGGAUCGUAAAACUCUGUUAUUAGGGAAGGACAUAUGUGUAAGUAACUGUGCACAUCUUGACGGUACCUAAUCAGAAAGCCACGGCUAACUACGUGCCAGCAGCCGCGGUAAUACGUAGGUGGCAAGCGUUAUCCGGAAUUAUUGGGCGUAAAGCGCGCGUAGGCGGUUUUUUAAGUCUGAUGUGAAAGCCCACGGCUCAACCGUGGAGGGUCAUUGGAAACUGGAAAACUUGAGUGCAGAAGAGGAAAGUGGAAUUCCAUGUGUAGCGGUGAAAUGCGCAGAGAUAUGGAGGAACACCAGUGGCGAAGGCGACUUUCUGGUCUGUAACUGACGCUGAUGUGCGAAAGCGUGGGGAUCAAACAGG